rnacentral:rRNA from 1 species
CCUACGGGUGGCAGCAGUGAGGAAUAUUGGUCAAUGGGCGGGAGCCUGAACCAGCCAAGUCGCGUGAGGGAAGACGGUCCUACGGAUUGUAAACCUCUUUUGCCGGGCAGCAACGGGGUCCUUGCGAGGGCCCGAUGAGAGUACCCGGAGAAAAAGCCUCGGCUAACUCCGUGCCAGCAGCCGCGGUAAUACGGAGGAUGCGGGGGUUAUCCGGUUUUAUUGGGUUUAAGGGGUGCUUAGGCGGGCUGUUAAGUCAGCGGUCAAAUGUCGGGGCUCAACCCCGGACUGCCGUGGAAACUGGCGGCCUCGAGUGGGCGAGAAGUAUGCGGAAUGCGUGGUGUAGCGGUGAAAUGCAUAGAUAUCACGAAGAACUCCGAUUGCGAAGGCAGCAUACCGGAGCGCGACUGACGCUGAGGCACGAAGGCGUGGGUAUCGAACAGGAUUAGAUACCCUAGUAGUC